CUGAACAUCAUCAAGAAAAAAUGGAAACCUCAGCAGGCUGUGCUGUUCUUUGAUACAGUAGCAAAUGGAUUGGAUGAGCCUGAUGACCUUUCUGAGUACGUGCUUCAAGGAUUCACUUGCUCUCGUGUCCAGACUUUCACCAAAA